UUUCCGUAGGUGAACCUGCGGAAGGAUCAUUAUUGAAAAAGACAAGACGCCCCGUUUUUUCGUAAAAUGGGUUCAAUACCCACAACCGUGUAUACCUUACCUUUUGUUGCUUUGGCAGGCCGCCUCCGGGCGUUGGCUUCGGCUGACAGCGCCUGCCAGAGGACCCAAACUCUGUGUUUAGUGAUGUCUGAGUAAUAUAUAAUAUUUUAAAACUUUCAACAACGGAUCUCUCGGUUCUG
rnacentral:misc_RNA from 1 species